rnacentral:tRNA from 1 species
GGAUUGUGGCUCAGCGGUAGAGCGCUAGCCUAGUGCGGGUAGGACCUGGGUUCCAUCCUCAGCACCA